GAUGAAACGGUGAAAUCUGCUAUGAUUAAAUGGGCACAAGAUGUUGGACAUAACAUUAUGUUCGCUGACUGGGAACAGUUAUGGACCACAGGUAUGAAGUUUACGGCAUGUAAUGCCCUAAGAGAGAAUAUUAUGAAAAUGAUAUACAGGUGGUACAUAACCCCAGUUAAGCUUGCAAAAAUCUAUCAUUUGCCUGAUAAUAAAUGUUGGAAAUGUAAAGAAACUGAAGGUACAUUUUUUCACCUUUGGUGGACGUGCCCAAAGAUUAAGGCUUUCUGGGAGAUGAUAUAUAAUGAAUUAAAAAAGGUAUUUAAAUAUACCUUCUUGAAGAAACCAGAGGCCUUUCUCUUGGGCAUAGUCGGCCAACCGGUGUUAAAAAAAGGAUAGAACUUUCUUUAUGUAUGCUACAACAGCAGCAAGAAUACUCAUCGCAAAGUAUUGGAAGACACAAGAGCUACCCACACUGGAGGAAUGGCAGAUGAAAAUGAUGGACUACAUGGAAUUGGCGGAAAUGACUGGCAGAAUCCGUGACCAGGGAGAAGAGUCGGUGGAAGAGGAUUGGAAGAAAUUCAAAGAUUAUUUACAGAAAUAUUGCAAAAUUAAUGAAUGUUAGAGUGAUGUUGGAUUGAAAUUAAGUGGCUUCUAGCUGUACAGGCUCUAAAGUUAUAAAUAUAUCAAGAUUAAGGAUUAGGAUUAAAAAGGUUAAAAGAAUGGAAAAAUUGGUUUUUAAUAGGUAAAAAUUUAAUGUUAUAUUAUAUUAAGAUUAAGGAUUGGGAUUAAAAAGGAGGGAAAGGAAUUGCUGGACUAACAAACUGAAUUGGAAUACAAAAGAGGGAGGUAUGAGGAGGUCCGGGAAACAAGUAAAUGUAAAAGUAGUGAUGAAAAGAGGGAAUUGUUUUUAACUGUUUUUUCUUUUUUCUUUUUGUAUUUUGCAUUGUGUAUUUUUCUUUUUAUUCUUGAAUUUUUCUUUUUUUGUUGAUGUGAUUCUUUCUUUGUGAAACUUUAAUAAAUAUCAUUU
rnacentral:lncRNA from 1 species